CAUGGUAAGCAUCUCAGUUCCCUUUGCUCCCACUCCUGUCUCCUUGUUCUUAUUCAAACUGGUGUUGUGAUAGUUUUCCUUUCAAAUCAUGUGUUCUGAUUUGUGUUGAAAUCACAGGUUGGCAAGGGCGGUGGUGAGAAGUGGAAGUAUCUUGAGUGAUGUUGUAAGUUACCCGCUCCCCAAUCCCCUCUCAGUUACUGCUCUAUUCAGUGUUGGUCUCUUUCGCCUGAUCUCAGUGUUUGCUCGAUGAUGCGAUGAAAUUUUGGCGGACUGUGAGUUGGUUUCCAUGUUUCUGUGUAGCUGCACCAUGUCAUUUGGGUAUUGUUUUACCCAGUUGGUCAGUGAUAUUUAGAAUUUAGUCGCUAUGUAAUUGUUGAUCUACUUCCUAUUCUCAAUGGUUGUUCAAAUUUAUGGUUUGCUGUGUUCAAAUGUCUGUAGCCUUGUAGCCUUGUUAGAAUCUGUAUAGUCUGUGCUCAUUGAUUCAAACUGCUGCUCGAAUUUGUUUCCAAAUCUACCAUUCCAUUUCGCAUGAUUUGUUCAACUAUUCUUCUUUUGUUAAUACUUAUCCUAGAAUCUAUUGCCUUGCACCACAUUAACAUCUCCUCUGUUUGAAUGAAUUGCAGGAGAAGGCUCCCUAAUUGCCAAGGCCAAGUACACCAAGAAGAUCGACACCUACAACAACCCAAUGGUAUAACAUUCACGUCAAACACCUUCAUCAGAAUCGUAGCCAUGUGAUAUUAACACAACAUUGUGGUAUUGAUCCAUGUUCUUUCGUGCCCAUCCCUAUUUUCAUUUCAGGAAGGAGAGGCAUCCGACGACUCUGACAAGUCCCAGUCUGAGGUGAGCGACGAGGACGACGAAAGCAAUGUGAGACCAUCCUGAUCCAUCCGCCAACUUUUUCCCCAUGAUCCCCUAACUGCUCAACAUGUUAUGUUCUGAAUAUCUGAAAACUUUUUGUGUGUAGGGGGACUUGUGAUGCGGCACGCAAAGCAGCAGCAGGGGGAGGGGGUCUCUGAAAUGUUGCUGCUUUCGCUCAUUUCUAGUGUCACCGAUUGAUGAUGGAUGGUUGCUGUUAGUUUAGCUCCUUAGUAGUACCUCCUAGUCUUUUAGGCGGCUGCUGCUGGUACCUAUAGUCUGUUCACCGAUUGAUGAUGGAUUGUUGAAU
rnacentral:lncRNA from 1 species